rnacentral:rRNA from 1 species
GGUACUAUGUGCCCAACUUCACCCUAUGUCUUUGUUCACUGUUUCUUUGCCGGUUUCGGCCGGCAGAAGAUUUCUCAAACCCAUUAUAAAUCUGCCUCUGAAUUCAAUUAAAAAAUUAAUUAAAACUUUCAACAACGGAUCUCUUGGUUCUGGCAUCGAUGAAGAACGCAGCGAAAUGCGAUAAGUAAUGUGAAUUGCAGAAUUCAGUGAAUCAUCGAAUUUUUGAACGCAUAUUGCGCCCUUUGGUAUUCCGAAGGGCAUGCCUGUUCGAGCGUCAUUACACCCCUCAAGCUUCGGUUUGAUGUUGGGCACCGCCUGUGGAAGGCAUGCCUUAAAGUCAGUGACGGUUACCCUUAACCUCGGGCACACAGAUGUUGCUAUGAUGGGAGAGGGCGGCUUGUCUUCAGAUAAUAUUCAAAAUGUUGACCUCGGAUCAGGUAGGAAUACCCGCUGAACUUAAGCAUAUCAAUAAGCGGAGGAAAAGAAACCAACAGGGAUUGCCUCAGUAACGGCGAGUGAAGCGGCAAAAGCUCAAAUUUGAAAUCUGACCUUUGGUCUGAGUUGUAAUUUGUAGAGGAUGUUUCGGGUAAGAUCCGGGCUUAAGUUCCUUGGAACAGGACGUCAUAGAGGGUGAGAAUCCCGUACGUGGUCCAGGAUCGCACCCAUGUGAAACUCCUUCGACGAGUCGAGUUGUUUGGGAAUGCAGCUCAAAAUGGGUGGUAAAUUUCAUCUAAAGCUAAAUAUUGGCCAGAGACCGAUAGCGCACAAGUAGAGUGAUCGAAAGAUGAAAAGCACUUUGAAAAGAGAGUUAAACAGCAUGUGAAAUUGUUGAAAGGGAAGCGCUUGCAACCAGACUUGUUUGUAGGGUUCAGCCGUCGUCUUCGUCGGUGUAUUUCCCUAUCUUCAGGCCAGCAUCAGUUCGGAUGGAAGGUUAAAGGCCUUGGGAAUGUAACAUCCUCCGGGAUGCCUUAUAGCCCUCGGUGUAAUGCUUCCCACC